AGGAUGAACGCUGGCGGCGUGCCUAAUACAUGCAAGUCGAGCGGUAAGGCCCCUUCGGGGGUACACGAGCGGCGGACGGCUGAGUAACACGUAGGAACGUACCCCAAACUGAGGGAUAAGCACCAGAAAUGGUGUCUAAUACCGCAUGUGAUCUUCGGAUUAAAGCUUCGGCGGUUUGGGAACGGCCUGCGCAUGAUUAGCUUGUUGGUGAGGUAAAAGCUCACCAAGGCGACGAUCAUUAGCUGGUCUGAGAGGAUGAUCAGCCAGACUGGGACUGAGAACGGCCCAGACUCCUACGGGAGGCAGCAGUAGGGAAUUUUCCACAAUGGGCGAAAGCCUGAUGGAGCAACGCCGCGUGCAGGACGAAGGCUUUCGGGUCGUAAACUGCUUUUAUAUGUGACGAUUAUGACGGUAGCAUAUGAAUAAGGAUCGGCUAACUCCGUGCCAGCAGCCGC
rnacentral:rRNA from 1 species